rnacentral:rRNA from 1 species
UACGGAGGAGGCAAGCGUUAUCCGGAAUUAUUGGGCGUAAAGCGUCCGCAGGUGGCUAUUCAAGUCUGCGGUCAAAGACUGGGGCUUAACCCUGGAAAGGCCGUGGAAACUGAAGAGCUAGAGUGCAGUAGGGGUAGAGGGAAUUCCCGGUGUAGCGGUGAAAUGCGUAGAGCUCGGGAAGAACAUCGGUGGCGAAAGCGCUCUGCUGGACUGCAACCGACACUCAGGGACGAAAGCUAGGGGAGCAAACGGG